UACGAAGGGGGCUAGCGUUGCUCGGAAUCACUGGGCGUAAAGGGCGCGUAGGCGGUCUUGUAAGUCUUGUGUGAAAUCCCUUGGCUUAACUGAGGAACUGCACGAGAUACUGCAAGACUUGAGAUCGGGAGAGGGAAGCGGAAUUCCGGGUGUAGCGGUGAAAUGCGUAGAUAUCCGGAGGAACACCGGUGGCGAAGGCGGCUUCCUGGACCGACACUGACGCUGAGGCGCGAAAGCUAGGGGAGCAAACGGG
rnacentral:rRNA from 1 species